AUGGAAGAUCCUCGGCAGACUCGACGGUUGGAGAUGCGCGAUUCCGGUGGUGAUCGGUGGGUCGUAGCGGCGGUUUGUUGUGGGAGUCGCGGCCGAUGGAUCCGCAGAGUUGAGUUAUUUGUAGGCUUGCUCGGAAGAAGCGACUGGGUGUUGAUCUACACAGAGGGAGCGAGGGUUGUGUGUGGAGCUUGUUGGAGUCGUAUCGAGGGCGUGGAGGGGGUCGGCGGAUUCAUGAGAAAAUCGCAAGGGUCGUUACACGAAUCUGAAGGCUACAAGUUAGGCUCGAAAACUCUUGAGAUUUCGAUGUGA